rnacentral:tRNA from 1 species
GGGGGGGCAUGUGUCCCGGUGGAUGCCUCGGUCUUCAAAAUCGAUGGGCGGCGGCGCAGAGCCGGCGUCGGUGGGUUCGACUCCCAUGCCUUCCCG